CUGCAACUUGACGGAACGGAAAUGUUCAAAAUUACAACAUUAUUGCCUCAGCAGGUAGAGUUUCUUUAAAAAAUUACUUGGGUGGGACAGAACACAGACCUGGAAACGGAGGAAAACUAUGAUGGAAGUCCAGCUUGCUCCAUUUUGUUCUGCAUAUUUGUGCAGUUACUGCAGCUGCAGAAUCAAUACGCUACAAUUGGCCUGACUCUGUGUCUACCUGUGACACCUUUCUGGAGAG